rnacentral:rRNA from 1 species
AGAGUUUGAUCAUGGCUCAGGACGAACGCUGGCGGCGCGCCUAACACAUGCAAGUCGAACGGAGCUUAGAGAGCUUGCUUUUUAAGCUUAGUGGCGAACGGGUGAGUAACGCGUGAGUAACCUGCCCUAGAGUGGGGGACAACAGUUGGAAACGACUGCUAAUACCGCAUAAGCCCACGGUGCCGCAUGACACUGAGGGAAAAGGAUUUAUUCGCUUUAGGAUGGACUCGCGUCCAAUUAGCUAGUUGGUGAGGUAACGGCCCACCAAGGCGACGAUUGGUAGCCGGGACUGGAGAGGUUGAACGGCCACAUUGGGACUGAGACACGGCCCAGACUCCUACGGGAGGCA